rnacentral:rRNA from 1 species
AUUGAACGCUGGCGGAAUGCUUUACACAUGCAAGUCGAACGGCAGCACGGGGGCAACCCUGGUGGCGAGUGGCGAACGGGUGAGUAAUACAUCGGAACGUGCCCAGUCGUGGGGGAUAACUACGCGAAAGCGUAGCUAAUACCGCAUACGAACUCUGGUUGAAAGCGGGGGAUCGCAAGACCUCGCGCGAUUGGAGCGGCCGAUGGCAGAUUAGGUAGUUGGUGAGGUAAAGGCUCACCAAGCCGACGAUCUGUAGCUGGUCUGAGAGGACGACCAGCCACACUGGGACUGAGACACGGCCCAGACUCCUACGGGAGGCAGCAGUGGGGAAUUUUGGACAAUGGGCGCAAGCCUGAUCCAGCCAUUCCGCGUGCAGGAUGAAGGCCCUCGGGUUGUAAAAUGCUUUUGUACGGAACGAAACGGUCCUGGUUAAUACCCGGGGCUAAUGACGGUACCGUAAGAAUAAGCACCGGCUAACUACGUG